rnacentral:misc_RNA from 1 species
GCACAUACUGUUCUGAUACAAUACAAGACAAUAACUUGAAAAUAAAACCAAAAUGAGCAUAUAUGGUACCAACUGACAACUCUUCAGAUAAGCAAAUACCAUAUCAAAAAAUGGGAAAAAAGAUGAAACAAAAGGGAACACGCUGUUCUCUGGCAUCAUCUACAGACACUAGACAACAAUGCAAACCAAAACACCAACUACGACGAAAAACACAACCAUCCAGCUAAACAAAUAGCAAAACCCAAACAGAUUCUGCAACAGAACCGAAGCAGCUUACCAACACUGAUAGCUCAGAAGCAUUUCCGGUGGACAAUCGAU